AACGAACGCUGGCGGCAGGCCUAACACAUGCAAGUCGAGCGGACCCUUCGGGGUUAGCGGCGGACGGGUGAGUAACGCGUGGGAAUAUGCCCUUCUCUACGGAAUAGUCCUGGGAAACUGGGGGUAAUACCGUAUACGCCCUUUGGGGGAAAGAUUUAUCGGGGAAGGAUUAGCCCGCGUUGGAUUAGGUAGUUGGUGGGGUAAUGGCCUACCAAGCCGACGAUCCAUAGCUGGUUUGAGAGGAUGAUCAGCCACACUGGGACUGAGACACGGCGCAGACUCGUACGGGAGGCAGGAGGGGGUAUCAUGAGUGAAGGGGGCCACCCCUGCUCCGGCCAUGCCGUGUGAGUAAUGAAGGCCUUAGUGUUGUAGACCCUUGUCAGCUGGGAAAGUAAUGACGGUCCCAGAAGACGAGGCCCCGCACACCCCCGUGCCAGCAGCCGGGUUAAUAAUCGGACUGGCUCCCGUCUGCAC
rnacentral:rRNA from 1 species